rnacentral:tRNA from 1 species
GCCUGGGUGGCUCAAUCGGUUAAGCGUCUGACUUCGGCUCAGGGCAUGAUUUCAUGGUUCGUGGGUUCAAGCCCUGCAUUGGGCU